rnacentral:rRNA from 1 species
AACGAACGCUGGCGGCAUGCCUAACACAUGCAAGUCGAACGAGACCUUCGGGUCUAGUGGCGCACGGGUGCGUAACGCGUGGGAACCUGCCCUUAGGUUCGGAAUAACUCCCCGAAAGGUGUGCUAAUACCGGUUAAUGUCUUCGGACCAAAGAUUUAUCGCCUUUGGAUGGGCCCGCGUUGGAUUAGCUAGUUGGUAGGGUAAAAGCCUACCAAGGCGACGAUCCAUAGCUGGUCUGAGAGGAUGAUCAGCCACACUGGGACUGAGACACGGCCCAGACUCGUACGGGAGGCAGCAGUGGGGAAUAUUGGACAAUGGGCGAAAGCCUGAUCCAGCAAUGCCGCGUGAGUGAUGAAGGCCUUAGGGUUGUAAAGCUCUUUUACCCGGGAUGAUAAUGACAGUACCGGGAGAAUAAGCUCCGGCUAACUCCGUG